CCCUGUGAUUCUGUGGUGGUGGCACCACUCAGCCUCAGUAGAUGUGGAGAUAUGGCACUGAGAGGGACACAGCGAGGAUGGGUUGAUGGUUGGACUAGGUGAUCUUAGAUGUCUUUUCCAACCUUAAUGAUUCUGUGCAACUGCAGCCAUAUCCCCGUGUGGUUUCUGUUCUCCCCCGUGUUCUCCCUGCCAUUCCUGCUUGAAUCUAAUGAAUUAGAUUCUUUUCUUAUUCUGUCUUCUGCUCCUCCGCCGUCAUUAUUUGGCAGAGCUGUAGGCACAGACGUGUUGUAAUGCGGCAGCGAAGCCAGCUCGGGCUCCUUUUGAGCAGAACGAGCACUGCUUGCCAGCCGGCCUGCCGCUCCGCAGAGUGCUGGAGCUCCGUGCUCUGCCCGCUCCCAGCUCCGGCACCGUAACCGGCACUGCCGUGGCCCUCCACCCCAGCCUCAAACGCGACGCUCUCGAACGCGGCUCGACAGGGCGGGGGGCAGCCCGACAGGGCCGCUCUGCCCGCACCCACACGCCGCCUCUCCGAGCCCGGGGUGGGAGCGGCGGUGCGGGGCUGCGGCUCGGCUCCUCUGCGCGGUGCCGCCCCGGGGCAGGGAGGCAGGGCAGGCUGCGGGGGCCGGGCUGCCGGGGCCGGGCUGCCCCACCGCGUCCUGCGGCACUCGGCACCGCCGCCUGCAGCCGGGGAGCCUUUCUCAGAGGCGCUGCUGCCGAGAAACACGAGCGCGUAAGUAACUGAACGGGACAUGAAGAAUUGACAUUUAAAUGGCCAGCAUGUUGCAAAAGUCUGACAGCAAUGCAAGCUUUCUCCGAGCUGCCAGAGCUGGCAAUUUGGACAAAGUAGUGGAAUACCUGAAAAGUGGAAUAGACAUUAAUACAUGUAAUCAGGUAAGAUAAUUGAAGGGCAAAACUACAAGAGCAAAAUGUAAGUCAUACCCUCUUCACCGAACUAGAAUUUUCAGGUUAGAU
rnacentral:lncRNA from 1 species